CGAAAUGUCCAAACAGAGAUAGAGUGGGGGACCAGAUGGGGCUGUCCCAGCACCCACUGGGGUUAUGACAACUGCUGCUGGGCUUUAUUCAUAAGUGAGGAAGUGCAUAAGAAAGAGUUAACAAAUAAUAGAUGUAAAGAGAACACAGAUUUGGAGAGGCAUUUCAAGUGAAAUCCCAUCCCGCAGGCAAAGGGUGUGGGAAGGACCCAAAGACACGUGGUUAGCAGGGCCCAGGUAGUCGGCAGGCCUCGGCAGGCAUCUUGGUUUCAGUAACGAAAUGAUAGUGAGGAAGCAGGAAUGAAAAAAUGGGAACUUGCAAGAGUGAAGCAAGGGCAGCCCAAGGUCACUCGCUGGGUGGCUUAGACGCUGACAUCAAUUUCAAGUCUGCUCCAAGCGGGCAGCGGGAGUGAAUCGCCGAAGCGUGGACGGGCAGCGACCCCUCCUCGGCCUUUCAUUCCAACGGUUCAAAGCAGCAGGUGCUACCCAGGCCUUGUGUGUGAUGCCUGCUGCGCUUCUGCCUCUUCUGGCACAUCACAAGGUUGCGGAAACGCAGAGGAGCCCGAAGAAAACUGCCAGGCUCCUGCUCAGCUUCCUCUUGGCUGGAUCCUGAUUGGGUGGGUGACAGAGGGCAAAUGGCUUUUACGGCUGUGAAUGAUGUAUGGCCGUAAAAUGGUCUGUAACCAGAAGUGCCAACUGACAUGCCUGCUGAUUUAACGGACACCCCGGGUUAUGUUUGCAGAGACGCUUAAAUAAACACGUGCUAGGUUUGAGGCCGUUUACCAAG